GCGUUGCUCAGCAACCGGUGCACGCGCCUCUGGCUGAAUGCGUUCGGACCAUUGACUGUAGAAGGAGGGUGGCGCAAGAAAAAUUUACCUUGUGUUCGUUACUGUUUCCACUCGAAAGUGGUAAAAUGAGUGCCCCAAGUAUAGUUAAACCUGCUAAAUUCAAACUCGACCUUAAAAAACAAGAAACAACAUCGCCAUGUGAUGAAAAGGAAGGCAGCAGAGAAGGAACGGAUCAUGACUACGCAGCAAUGGACGUAGCAGUGAUGAGCAAAAGGGAACGGAGCAUCGAUUCGGUUCCAUCUACACCCAGUAAGAAGCCUGCAGAGAAGAAAGCUAAGUCAGCAGAGAUAAGUGAAAGUGACGAAGUCUCUAAUGCUACUAUAUUGAAAGCGAUUCUAAACCUUGAAAAAAGAGUGGAUGAGCAGCUAGCUGACCUGAGUGUGCAAUGCAAGCAAGCUAGUACGAUGCUAGCUAGCCAAAGCGGUUCAGUUCAACUCGGAGGAGGUGAAAGAAUGUAAACAAAAGGUUAAAGAGUUGGAGAGACGAAACGAGCAGUUGACCAAAGAUAACUACGAUCUCAAGGAGAGAGUGAGAGAGCAAGAAAGGUACAAAAUGAGGUGGUGCCUCCGGAUUAAAGGUUUAGAGGAGAAAAAAGAUGAAGAUGUCAGAUCGCUGGUUGUUGGAAUUCCUGGCAAGAUCGCACCUGAUAUGACAUCAAAGCUUGAAGAAUCUGUGGAUGUGGUGCAUAGAGUGGGGAAGAAGAUUGAGAAUAAGGUCCGACAUAUCAUCAUUCUGUUUGCUCUGAGACAUGUGAAAGAGGAGAUUUGGCGUCGCACCAAAGACUCGGCUGUCUGUAAGAACGGGGGUUUCCACUUCGCUGAGGUACAGCCGCGGGAGGAUUGGGAAGAGAGGAGGCGGCUGUGGCCGCAAAUUGAACAAGCCAGACGCGCUGGGAAGCGGGCCUUUUUCCGGGGUCAUCAUGGAUAUAUCGAAGGACGGAGGAUUGGUGACGUUGAAUGAAAGACCUUAAGUAAGACUGUAUACAGUGGAAUAUUAUCAAUGGGACAAAAGAGUUCUACUUAAAGUUAAAGAUUAUUAGUCACUGAGUUGGUGACAAGUGUUACAAUUUAGACUCAUAUUUAUAUAUUUUUCUUUUCUUUUUAAAAAAAAAAUAUUAUUAGUUAUUUUCUUAGCAUAUUCUUAAACUCACUCUGUGGAUGCUGAUGCUACCUUUUGGGCUAAUCAGUGGGGAGAGAAGAUUCUUUUCAGUCAUGGAUCUAACAGAUCUGGAGGUGUGGCGAUUUGUUUUAAUAAGUUCCCAGGGAGAUUAUAACAUAUAAAGCUGAUAGUGAGGGUCAUUG
ensembl:lncRNA